rnacentral:rRNA from 1 species
AAAUUGAAGAGUUUGAUCAUGGCUCAGAUUGAACGCUGGCGGCAGGCCUAACACAUGCAAGUCGAACGGUAACAGGAAACAGCUUGCUGCUUUGCUGACGAGUGGCGGACGGGUGAGUAAUGUCUGGGAAACUGCCUGAUGGAGGGGGAUAACUACUGGAAACGGUGGCUAAUACCGCAUAAUGUCGCAAGACCAAAGAGGGGGACCUUCGGGCCUCUUGCCAUCAGAUGUGCCCAGAUGGGAUUAGCUGGUUGGUGAGGUAACGGCUCACCAAGGCGACGAUCCCUAGCUGGUCUGAGAGGAUGACCAGCCACACUGGAACUGAGACACGGUCCAGACUCCUACGGGAGGCAGCAGUG